UACGAGUGCCUCAAGCGUUAUCCGGAAUCAUUGGGCGUAAAGGGUGUGUAGGUGGUUGUAUUAGUCUUGCGUUAAAUCUUCCGGCUCAACCGGGAGGCUGCGUGGGAAACGGUACGACUAGAGGACGGCAGAGGUUUCUGGAACUCAUAGUGUAGCGGUGAAAUGCGUUGAUAUCUGGAGGAACACCGGUGGCGAAGGCGGCAUCCUGGACCAACACUGACACUGAGGAGCGAAAGCCAGGGGAGCAAACGGG
rnacentral:rRNA from 1 species